rnacentral:rRNA from 1 species
AACGAACGCUGGCGGCAGGCCUAACACAUGCAAGUCGAACGAACCUUUUAGGUGAGUGGCGCACGGGUGCGUAACGCGUGGGAAUAUGCCCAUAGGUGAGGAAUAACGUAGAGAAAUUUGCGCUAAUACCUCAUAAUAUCUUCGGAUCAAAGAUUUAUCGCCUAUGGAUUAGCCCGCGUUAGAUUAGAUAGUUGGUGAGGUAAUGGCUCACCAAGUCGACGAUCUAUAGGGGGUCUGAGAGGAUGAUCCCCCACACUGGUACUGAGACACGGACCAGACUCCUACGGGAGGCAGCAGUGAGGAAUAUUGGACAAUGGAGGAAACUCUGAUCCAGCCAUGCCGCGUGAAUGAAGAAGGCC